UAUUUUUGAUAACUGUAUUUUGGAUAUGGAGCUAAUGUAAUUGUAAUGCCAGCAUUAAUAAUAGUCAUUGUAGUACUGAACGGCUCCACCAGGGGGCGCGGUGUGCUGGGCGCUAUACCAGGGGACACCUGGCUUCCUGCUUGCAAUCAUUACAGACGUGAGCACAAUCAAGUUGUGUAACUCAAACAUCUCCCUUCCCAGACUCCAGCAGCAAGAGCUGUUCGGACCAAGAAAGCGAUGAUUUCCCCAUUAAUUUGAGCGAGGAUUUUUGGAUUUUGUCCAGAAGGAAAGGCAAACGGACUUCAUUUACAAGUGAAGGAGGUGAGGGGAGCAGUGAGCAGCAGUGGUGGCCGCGCCCGGGAAUCAUUUUUGGUGAUUUAACCGCCAAUUCCAACCCUUGAUGCAGAGUGCCAAGCAGGGAGGUUUGCAUGGUGAGAAGUCUUCCUUGUGGAAAAUCAGUGAUGGGAAUUGCAUUCAUUUCCAAGUGAUCGAAGCAUCCUUUCUUCCCUGGGGGGCUGAGCGAGGACCCUCACACAAAUGCCACAUUACCAUAGCCCAAACCGCAGAAAUGACUGCACGUGUUCUUACAAAUGUCAUCAUAACCAAAUUGAUCCAGCACCAGUGAGGACAUUUAGAUUUUUUUUUUCUCAUGUGAUCUUAAUUUUUAAUGAUCGCGUCAAAUCAUUAGGGAACAUCGACCAAAGCGCACCUCGUGUUGCUCCGUAGCGCUAAAUGAAAUGCAACGACCUGCUGCUUUGCUGUGACUUUGAUGGACUGGAGGUCGAGGUGCUCGCUGAACGAUGACUGCCUAUUGAUUUUUUUAGGUCUUUCGUCUCUAUCGAAUAACCUUCAACAGCCACUAGCCUCAACACAGCCGUCCUAAUAUGGGCUCUGGGGAUAAUCAGUCACUGCAUGUUCACCAGAGAAUUUCUUUUGAAUGGUUGGUGUGAUGCGUAGGAACACUAAUGCUUGCUUCCUUUGCGAGAAAAACGAGGCUUAAUUUAUGAGCGGAGUACAAAAUGCCUGUGUUUUAUUCAGGAACACAGAUGCUCGCUUUCUGCGCAGAAACGACGAAGCUUCGGUUUUACUCAGGAACAAAGAUGAUCACUUUCUGCGCGGAAACAACACUCCCUGUGUUCUGUGCAGGAAAAUCAGAUGCUUGCUUUCUGCGCAAAAAUGACAAUGCAUGUGUUUACGCAGCAACAAAAAUGCUCGGUUUCUGCGCGGAAACGAAAAAGCUUGUUUUCUCCGCAGGAACAGUGAUGUUCGCUUUUGUGCGCGGAAACAACAAUCCUUGUGUUCAUUGCAGGAACACAAAUCCUCACUUUUUUCUGUGUUUAACUCAGGAGCACAGAUGCUCGCUCUCUGUGCAAAAAUGACAAUGCUUGUGUUUUACGCAGCAACAAAGA